rnacentral:tRNA from 1 species
GCUCCCGUGGUGAAAUGGAUAUCACAACGGUCUUCGGAACCGUCGUUGGGGGUUCGAGUCCCUCCGGGAGCACCA